rnacentral:rRNA from 1 species
GACGAACGCUGGCGGCGUGCCUAAUACAUGCAAGUAGAACGCACAGUUUAUACCGUAGCUUGCUCCACCAUAGACUGUGGGUUGCGAACGGGUGAGUAACGCGUAGGUAACCUGCCUGGUAGCGGGGGAUAACUAUUGGAAACGAUAGCUAAUACCGCAUAAUAUUGAUUAUUGCAUGAUAAUUGAUUGAAAGAUGCUAUUGCAUCACUACCAGAUGGACCUGCGUUGUAUUAGCUAGUAGGUGAGGUAACGGCUCACCUAGGCGACGAUACAUAGCCGACCUGAGAGGGUGAUCGGCCACACUGGGACUGAGACACGGCCCAGACUCCUACGGGAGGCAGCAGUAGGGAAUCUUCGGCAAUGGACGAAAGUCUGACCGAGCAACGCCGCGUGAGGGAAGAAGGGUUUCGGAUCGUAAAGCUCUGUUGUAAGAGAAGAACGGGUGUGAGAGUGGAAAGUUCACACUGUGACGGUAUCUUACCAGAAAGGGACGGCUAACUACGUG